UUACAAGAAACAUACUCCUUCAAAGUAUUACUACAAGUCACCUGUUCCUUCAAAGAAUUACUAUAAGUCACCAGCUCCUUCAAAACACUACUACAAGGCACCAGUUGCAACCAAGUAUUACAAGUCACCUGCUCCCUCAAAGCAUUAUUACAAGUCACCUGCUCCCACAAAGUAUUAUUACAAGUCCUCAACUCCUUCAAAACACUACUACAAGGCACCGGUUGCAACCAAGUAUUACAAGUCACCUGCUCCCUCAAAGCAUUAUUACAAGUCACCUGCUCCCACAAAGUAUUAUUACAAGUCCCCAACUCCUUCAAAGUACUACUACAAGUCCCCGUCGCCAGCAAAGUACUACAAGUCGCCUACAACUUAUAAUUCACCACCUCCACCAAAAACCUAUGAACAUUCGCCAUCAUAUUACUCACCUCCACCACCAACUUACUACAAGCAAACACCUAUCUACCCUUCACCUCCACCACCUGUGAAGUACGAGCAAUCUGUCACCUAUGCUUCACCUCCACCACCAACAUACUACAAGCAAGAACCCACCUAUGCUUCACCUCCACCACCUGUGAAGUACGAGCAAGCACCCACCUAUGCUUCACCUCCACCACCAACGUACUACAAGCAAACACCCACCUAUGCUUCACCUCCACCACCAACGUACUACAAGCAAACACCCACGUAUGCUUCACCUCCACCACCUGUGAAGUACGAGCAAUCUGUCACAUAUGUUUCACCUCCACCACCAACGUACUACAAGCAAACUCCCACCUAUACUUCACCUCCACCACCUGUGAAGUACGAGCAGUCAGUCACCUAUGCUUCACCUCCACCACCAGCAACAUCUCCCCCACCAACCUACUACUAAUAUUCAACCCUUCCCCUCAAUUAUUUUCCACAUCUCCAUGACUUAUAACUCCUUUUCAUCCUCUCUCCGAGUAUUUUCAUUUUCUUUCCGCCACAGUUUUAUGUAUGUUUCCCAAAAUGAUCGGCUUUGCUUGCUGUGUGUUCUUUUAUUUAAUAACUUGUACUAUCAUAUGAGUUUUAAGUAAGAUCCUUGAGAUCUCCAUCAAUUUGGCUUUAUUGUAUCAAGAUCCUUUUUUUUUGUUGUAAUUUAUCAAGAAUCUGCAGUUAAUCUAAUAUUAUUUCUUAUCCGUUGAAUACUUUACUUUGGUCUUUACACAUACCUCCAGGGCAUCUAAGAGUAGUUGAUUACCUACUAAAAAAGAAGAGAAAAAGAAAAAAUAUGGAUGUGAGUCGAAAGACGUGGUCAUGGAUCAACACAGCAGUAAAGUUUCUUCUUUGACUUACUAUAGUAUUAUGGAUUCUAAUUGUACUUAUAAGCUAUUUAGGAAAUAAAAUUAUAUAUAAAUAAACCGAAUAAGAAAGAAAUAAAGAUUAAAUGUAAGCAUAUGAAUCAUUUUUCCAAUUCUUUUUCAAAAAUGAAUUCUCUAUGUUAAAUAUGUCAAAAGAUACAACGUUGUUACGAAUGGAGUAUAUGUAUUGCUAAUAUCAGUGUUAUUUUUUAAAUAGAAUCAAGUAAUACUCGAGUAAUAAUACAGAAUUUACUAGGAGAAUAAACUCGAGAAAAUAAAAUUUAAGUAAAUAGUUACUGGAAAUGUAUUAAAUAAAGGAAAAACACCCGUAGCAUUUAAAUAACACUUUGGUACCAUCAGUCUUCCCUCUGCGCAGCCUUAGGAGCCCCAACACCACAGCUACAGUCCCGCCAGCAAACCCAAAUUACCAGUGCUACUUCCACUUGUCCCCGCCGGAUGUAGUUAGAUAGAAUCUGAAAAUAGCGUCCACAGGUUUUAUGUAGAUGUGGAGAUUGCCAUAAUGCAAUGAAGUUUAUAUCAGUAGCGGAGGGAAGAGAGAUAAUUGUUAGAGAUUCUAAUCGUUUUCACCAUAUUACAGAUGAACUCUGCUCCUGCAAUGACUAUUGGUGAAAAUCUUUUACUGUCAAUUAUGGUCUUAUUGGCACGUCCAGACCAAUACGUAGCAAACAUGACUAGAAUACUAUAUCUGAGCAAGAAAUGUGAAAAUGUCAUUAUUCAAGCUGAAGCAAAAAAGAUCAAGCUCGUAGGUUACCCAAAUAAAUUCGGCAAGAAAAGUCAGUCAAACCUUAUCAAUUGACAGUAAUGUAUGUCAGUAUCUAUUUUGGUUCCUGUUUUUUGUUUAAUCUCCUGAAAUCUCUUGCAGUCAAAUUGGCUUAUUAUCCAACUAGGUCUGUUUUGGCAUUAAUCCAAAAGUAAAAGAAGUAGUUGAUCUGAAUCCAAACCAAACUGAUAACAUGUAUACCGUUGUUAUUUUUAACACUUAAAAGUAUUUACAACAACAACAUAUCCGUGUGAUACCACAAGUAAGAUUUGAUAGUAUGUAUGCAGACCUACCUCUGUCUUGUGAAAGAAACACAUAAAAUAUGUUAUUAUAAAAGGUCUAUAAACAUUUUGUUUGCAGUUUCCUCUUUUAUUUUAUGUUUUUAUUUUUUCUGGUGACUUUGACAUCUGAGUUUGUAGUAGCUUUGUUUGUAUAGAAUCGCACACAACGUGUUGAUAACCAUUGCAUUUUUGUUAUCCUGUUGCUUGUCUUUGGAGAUAGGGGCAGUGACAUCGCCACGUAGAGUGAAGGGUGGUCAAUUGAAUAUCCUUCAACGAAAAUCUAUUCUGAGUAUAUAGAAAAUUAUAUUGUGUAUAUAUAUCAAAUUUACUUUUCAUACAUAUAUUAAACUUUGAAUAUUCAUAGCGAAAUUCUUGAACAUCGGCGAUGUCAAACUCAAUUGUCAUAAGUCAACUUACAGAUUUUGGCAUUGUAAAAAGAACAAAGAAAAUGUCCCCAUUUCUUUGUUCUGCUUAUUGUUUAGAAAUAGUCAAUCUUUAACUAAUUUGUGCUAUCCCUCUUUAUUGUACUUUUAUUAAGUAUUUUUCUUAUUUAAAUUAUUUUGUCACCAGAUAAUGCCUCCCACUUUGUACUGAUCAAGUCCUUCUUUGUACUUUGCUCUUUGCUUAGUGGGUAACCAUGAAGCUAUUACAUUAAUGUGCAAAAUUAUGUCACAUUGCCUAUAAAAAUUAGAGCUCUCUACUCAAAUAUGCAAGACAAGUCUUAGUUCUAUCUUUCCCUUUUCCAGCUAUAGUUUGUUGCAAAUCAAAAUGACAAGCUUAGGGAAGUUGGGCCAAUGGCCCUUACUAACAGCUGCUUUGGUAAUUUGCUUAGUAGCCAGCACUGUUGUUGCUGAUUACUCUUAUGGCUAUACUUAUCCUUCUUACAACUCUAAGAAGUACUACAAAUCACCAUCUCCAUCCAAGUAUGAGGUACCCACUCCUUACUACAAGAAAACUGAGAAACCUGCUGCACAUUCUCCGUCACACUACUAUAAAUCUCCAGCACCAUCGAAGCACGACUAUUACAAGUCGCCAUCACCAAUAAAAUAUUACAAAUCGCACUUGCCAACAAAAUAUUACAAGUCGCCUGCUCCUUCAAAGCAAUACUAUAAGUCACCCGUUGUAGUGAAAUAUUACAAGUCACCCGCUCCUGUAACACAUUAUUACAAGUCGCAUGUUCCAUCAAAACACUACUACAAGUCACCAUCUCCUUCAAAACACUAUUAUAAGUCAUCGGUUGCAAAGAAGUAUUACAAGAAACAUACUCCUUCAAAGUAUUACUACAAGUCACCUGUUCCUUCAAAGAAUUACUAUAAGUCACCAGCUCCUUCAAAACACUACUACAAGGCACCAGUUGCAACCAAGUAUUACAAGUCACCUGUUCCCUCAAAGCAUUAUUACAAGUCACCUGCUCCCACAAAGUAUUAUUACAAGUCCUCAACUCCUUCAAAAC
rnacentral:lncRNA from 1 species